rnacentral:rRNA from 1 species
GACGAACGCUGGCGGCGUGCUUAACACAUGCAAGUCGAGCGGUAAGGCCCUUUCGGGGGUACACGAGCGGCGAACGGGUGAGUAACACGUGGGUGACCUGCCCUCAGCUCUGGGAUAAGCCUGGGAAACCGGGUCUAAUACCGGAUAUGACUCCAUGACGCAUGUUGUGGGGUGGAAAGCCUUGUGCGGCUGAGGAUGGGCCCGCGGCCUAUCAGCUUGUUGGUGGGGUGAUGGCCUACCAAGGCGACGACGGGUAGCCGGCCUGAGAGGGCGACCGGCCACACUGGGACUGAGACACGGCCCAGACUCCUACGGAGGCAGCAGUGGGGAAUCUUGCGCAAUGGGCGAAAGCCUGACGCAGCGACGCCGCGUGA